rnacentral:rRNA from 1 species
GUCAUCCCCSCCUAUAUACCGCCGUGGUCAGCAUACCCYGUGAAGGAAAUAUAGUAUGCACAAUGGGUAAACCCCAAAACGUCAGGUCGAGGUGUAGCGUAUGGGGAGGGAAGAAAUGGGCUACAUUCUCUAACCUAGAGCAUUACGAAAGGGGCUGUGAAACCAGCCCCUGAAGGUGGAUUUAGCAGUAGGCGGGAACUAGAGCGUCCUGUCGAAACUGGCUCUGAGGCGCGCACACACCGCCCGUCACUCUCCCCGAGUCUAUUUUUUAAGUCAUAAAAU